rnacentral:rRNA from 1 species
GAUCAUGGCUACAGAACGAACGCUGGCGGCAUGCCUAACACAUGCAAGUCGAACGAGACCUUCGGGUCUAGUGGCGCACGGGUGCGUAACGCGUGGGAAUCUGCCCUUAGGUUCGGAAUAACUUCGGGAAACUGAAGCUAAUACCGGAUACGUCCGUAAGGAGAAAGAUUUAUCGCCAAAGGAUUGGCCCGCGUCCGAUUAGCUAGUUGGUGAGGUAACGGCUCACCAAGGCUACGAUCGGUAGCUGGUCUGAGAGGAUGAUCAGCCACAUUGGGACUGAGACACGGCCCAAACUCCUACGGGAGGCAGCAGUGGGGAAUAUUGGACAAUGGGCGCAAGCCUGAUCCAGCCAUGCCGCGUGAGUGAUGAAGGCCUUAGGGUUGUAAAGCUCUUUUGUCCGGGAAGAUAAUGACUGUACCGGAAGAAUAAGCCCCGGCUAACUUCGUG